UUGGAUCCCGACGAAGUCGUAACAAGGUAGCCGUACCGGAAGGUGCGGCUGGAUCACCUCCUUUCUAAGGAGCACCACGAGAAACACUCCAAUUGGUGGGGUGUGAGCCGUGAGGGGUUCUCGUCUGUAGUGGACGAGGGCCGGGUGCACAACAACAGGCAAUCGCCAGACACACUAUUGGGCCCUGAGACAACACUCGGCCGACUUCGGUUGAAGUGGUGUCCCUCC
rnacentral:misc_RNA from 1 species